rnacentral:rRNA from 1 species
AUUGAACGCUGGCGGCAUGCUUUACACAUGCGAGUCGAACGGCAGCGCGGGCUUCGGCCUGGCGGCGAGUGGCGAACGGGUGAGUAAUGCAUCGGAACGUGCCCAGUAGUGGGGGGUAGCCCGGCGAAAGCCGGAUUAAUACCGCAUACGACCUGAGGGUGAAAGCGGGGGACCGAAAGGCCUCGCGCUAUUGGAGCGGCCGAUGUCGGAUUAGCUAGUUGGUGGGGUAAAGGCUUACCAAGGCGACGAUCCGUAGCUGGUCUGAGAGGACGACCAGCCACACUGGGACUGAGACACGGCCCAGACUCCUACGGGAGGCAGCAGUGGGGAAUUUUGGACAAUGGGGGCAACCCUGAUCCAGCCAUGCCGCGUGCGGGAAGAAGGCCUUCGGGUUGUAAACCGCUUUUGUUCGGGAAGAAAUCCUCUGGGCUAAUACCCCGGGGGGAUGACGGUACCGGAAGAAUAAGCACCGGCUAACUACGUG